AAAUCUUGAAAUUCAGGGUUGACUCUGAAAGAGGAAAGCGUAAUAUACGCCACCUCGCGACAGUGCGCUAAAGCGCGUCGCAACUGCUCUUUAACAAUUUAUCAGACAAUCUGUGUGGGCACUCGAAGAUACGGAUUCUUAACGUCGCAAGACGAAAAAUGAAUACCAAGUCUCAAG
rnacentral:rRNA from 1 species